GACGUAGGGCGCGAGCGUUGUCCGGAUUUAUUGGGCGUAAAGAGCUCGUAGGCGGUUUGUCGCGUCGUUCGUGAAAACUCACAGCUCAACUGUGAGCUUGCGGUCGAUACGGGCAGGCUAGAGUUCGGUAGGGGAGACUGGAAUUCCUGGUGUAGCGGUGAAAUGCGCAGAUAUCGGGAAGAACACCCGUGGCGAAGGCGGUUCUCUGGGACGGUACUGACGCUGAGACGCGAAAGCGUGGGGAGCGAACAGG
rnacentral:rRNA from 1 species